rnacentral:rRNA from 1 species
CACGUAGGGGGCAAGCGUUGUCCGGAAUUAUUGGGCGUAAAGAGCUCGUAGGCGGUUUGUCGCGUCUGCUGUGAAAAUCCAGGGCUUAACCCUGGACCUGCAGUGGGUACGGGCAGACUAGAGGUAUUCAGGGGAGAACGGAAUUCCUGGUGUAGCGGUGAAAUGCGCAGAUAUCAGGAGGAACACCGGUGGCGAAGGCGGUUCUCUGGGAAUAUCCUGACGCUGAGGAGCGAAAGUGUGGGGAGCGAACAGG